GGGGCUGACCGGUUUCGACGUCAGUAUCGCUUGGGCGAAUCUGCGACCCGAGUUGCUCAGACUCGAGAAACGGGGCAACCAUAAGAAUUGCCGAUGAGCAGUUCGCUCUUGCCGCCUGAUUCAGGUGAGUAAAGAGUCAUCGUGACCAGAAAUGGCGCACGGGGCCGGUCCGCCGCAGCCCGGCAACAGAAGCGGAGGAUGACGACGAGAAAGACCGUUGACGGCGAGAAAGACCGCUGCCUCUUAGGAAAGACUGAGCGCUGAUCGCAAGAUCAAUCGACCCGCCGAUGAGCCGGCGUCAGGCUCUCAGACGGGAAUGGUCGUAGCGGGUCCGUUCACGGGCUGAUGGACGGGGGUUCGAUUCCCCCCAGCUCCACUC
rnacentral:tmRNA from 1 species